rnacentral:rRNA from 1 species
CCUACGGGAGGCAGCAGUGGGGGAUAUUGCACAAUGGGGGAAACCCUGAUGCAGCGACGCCGCGUGUGGGAAGACGGCCCUCUGGAUUGUAAACCACUUUCCCCAGGGACGAAGAUGACGGUACCUGGGGACGAAGCUCCGGCUAACUACGUGCCAGCAGCCGCGGUAAUACGCAGGGAGCGAGCGUUGUCCGGAAUUACUGGGUGUAAAGGGAGCGUAGGCGGGUCUGCAGGUUGGGGGUAAAAUCUCACGGCUCAACCGGUAGCCGCACUCAAAACUGCAGUUCUUGAGUGAAGUAGAGGCAGGCGGAAUUCGUGGUGUAGCGGUGAAAUGCGUAGAUAUUAGGAAGAACACCGAUGGCGAAGGCAGCCUGCUGGGCUGUUACUGACGCUGAGGCUCGAAAGUGUGGGGAUCAAACAGGAUUAGAUACCCUGGUAGUC